rnacentral:lncRNA from 1 species
ACGGUUAAGAGGCAGACUAAGGGUCGCAUGGAGGUUACAAAAUUGAUGUUUGAACCGUUACAACUCAUGAUUAAUAGUCAUUAGUGGUACAACAGACGUUACCUUGAGCAUUCAAGCAUGGAAAACGUAUGGGUAACUCAUGAUGACCUAUUAUGGAAGGAGUCCGAGGAUUGAAGGGAAAAUUAUAUAAGAGACUCCAAAAAGAAUAUCAAGGGAGGAGGACACGAAUACAAA